GUGCCUGUGGCUCAAAGGAGUAGGGCACCAGCCCCAUAUGCUGGAGGUGGUGGGUUCAAACCCAGCCCCAGCCACA
rfam:Otolemur garnettii contig033357, whole genome shotgun sequence.